rnacentral:tRNA from 1 species
GGAGGUAGAGUGCGUGCUUAGUACCCACGAGGUCCUGGGUUCAAUUCCCAGUACUUCCA